rnacentral:rRNA from 1 species
UACGUAGGGUGCGAGCGUUAAUCGGAAUUACUGGGCGUAAAGCGUGCGCAGGCGGUUCGUUGUGUCGGUGGUGAAAGCCCCGGGCUUAACCUGGGAAUGGCCAUGGAAACUGGCGAACUGGAGUGUGGCAGAGGGGGGUGGAAUUCCGCGUGUAGCAGUGAAAUGCGUAGAUAUCAGGAGGAACACCAAUGGCGAAGGCAGCUCGCUGGGACGGUACUGACGCUGAGACGCGAAAGCGUGGGGAGCAAACAGG